GCCGGAGUGGUGGAAUUGGUAGACACGCCGGAUUCAAAAUCCGGUUCCUUUGCGGGAGUGGCGGUUCAAGUCCGCCCUUCGGUACCA
rnacentral:tRNA from 1 species